rnacentral:rRNA from 1 species
UUUUUUUUUUUCAUCUACAGACAACGCAGCGCCGGUCGCUCUGUCGUCUUCUUCUCUCUCACUUCUUCUUAGAGUUUGAUCCUGGCUCAGGAUGAACGCUAGCUACAGGCUUAACACAUGCAAGUCGAGGGGCAGCGGGAUUGAAGCUUGCUUCAAUUGCCGGCGACCGGCGCACGGGUGAGUAACGCGUAUCCAACCUUCCGUACACUCAGGGAUAGCCUUUCGAAAGAAAGAUUAAUACCUGAUGGUAUGAUGAGAUUGCAUGAUAGCAUCAUUAAAGAUUUAUCGGUGUACGAUGGGGAUGCGUUCCAUUAGGUAGUAGGCGGGGUAACGGCCCACCUAGCCAACGAUGGAUAGGGGUUCUGAGAGGAAGGUCCCCCACAUUGGAACUGAGACACGGUCCAAACUCCUACGGGAGGCAGCAGUGAGGAAUAUUGGUCAAUGGACGAGAGUCUGAACCAGCCAAGUAGCGUGAAGGAUGAAGGUCCUACGGAUUGUAAACUUCUUUUAUAAGGGAAUAAACCCUCCCACGUGUGGGAGCUUGUAUGUACCUUAUGAAUAAGCAUCGGCUAACUCCGUGCCAGCAGCCGCGGUAAUACGGAGGAUGCGAGCGUUAUCCGGAUUUAUUGGGUUUAAAGGGAGCGCAGACGGGUCGUUAAGUCAGCUGUGAAAGUUUGGGGCUCAACCUUAAAAUUGCAGUUGAUACUGGCGUCCUUGAGUGCGGUUGAGGUGUGCGGAAUUCGUGGUGUAGCGGUGAAAUGCUUAGAUAUCACGAAGAACUCCGAUUGCGAAGGCAGCGCACUAAUCCGUAACUGACGUUCAUGCUCGAAAGUGUGGGUAUCAAACAGGAUUAGAUACCCUGGUAGUCCACACGGUAAACGAUGGAUACUCGCUGUUGGCGAUAUACUGUCAGCGGCUUAGCGAAAGCGUUAAGUAUCCCACCUGGGGAGCACGCCGGCAACGGUGA